GGAGAGAUGUCCGAGCUGGCCGAAGGAGCACGAUUGGAAAUCGUGUAUGCCCCAAAAGGGUAUCUAGGGUUCGAAUCCCAAUCUCUCCGCCA
rnacentral:tRNA from 1 species